rnacentral:rRNA from 1 species
AGCAGUGGGGAAUUUUGGACAAUGGGCGCAAGCCUGAUCCAGCAAUGCCGCGUGAGUGAAGAAGGCCUUCGGGCUGUAAAGCUCUUUUGUCAGGGAAGAAACGGUGAGAGCUAAUAUCUCUUGCUAAUGACGGUACCUGAAGAAUAAGCACCGGCUAACUACGUGCCAGCAGCCGCGGUAAUACGUAGGGUGCAAGCGUUAAUCGGAAUUACUGGGCGUAAAGCGUGCGCAGGCGGUUUUGUAAGUUUGUCGUGAAAGCCCCGGGCUCAACCUGGGAAUUGCGAUGAAGACUGCAAGGCUUGAAUCUGGCAGAGGGGGGUAGAAUUCCACGUGUAGCAGUGAAAUGCGUAGAGAUGUGGAGGAACACCGAUGGCGAAGCAGCCCCCUGGGUCAAGAUUGACGCUCAUG